AGCAGUAGCCGCGGUAAUACGUAGGUGGCGAGCGUUGUCCGGAAUUAUUGGGCGUAAAGGGCUCGCAGGCGGUUUCUUAAGUCUGAUGUGGAAGCCCCCGGCUCAACCGGGGAGGGUCAUUGGAAACUGGGAAACUUGAGUGCAGAAGAGGAGAGUGGAAUUCCACGUGUAGCGGUGAAAUGCGUAGAGAUGUGGAGGAACACCAGUGGCGAAGGCGACUCUCUGGUCUGUAACUGACGCUGAGGAGCGAAAGCGUGGGGAGCGAACAGGAUUAGAUACCCCAGUAGUCCCUGUCUCUUAUAA
rnacentral:rRNA from 1 species